rnacentral:pre_miRNA from 1 species
UACUUUGAAUAAACCAUCAAUUUAGUCUCUAAAAUAUCACUCUUUCUUCAAGUCCCUAAAUUAUAUAGAAAUAAUAGUAAUCAUUAAGUAUAUGAAAUUCAUCAAUUUAGUCUUUAUCAUAAUAGCAAGGACUAAAAUAACAGGUUUUAUAUACUUUAAGGACUACUUAUUAUAUUUAUAUGUACUUUAAGGACUAAAUUGGAGACAGUGAUAUUUUAGGGACUAAAUUGAUGGUUUAUUCUUUCAU